UACAGAGGUCCCAAGCGUUGUUCGGAUUCACUGGGCGUAAAGGGUGCGUAGGUGGCCAGGUAAGUUUGGUGUGAAAGCUCGGAGCUUAACUCCGAAAAGUCAUUGAAUACUAUCUGGCUGGAGGGUCGGAGGGGAGACUGGAAUUCUCGGUGUAGCAGUGAAAUUCGUAGAUAUUCGCAAGAACACCAGUGGCGAAGGCGGCUCACUGGCCCGAUACUGACGCUGAGGCACGAAAGCGUGGGGAGCAAACAGG
rnacentral:rRNA from 1 species